AUUGAACGCUGGCGGCAGGCCUAACACAUGCAAGUCGAACGAGUGGCGGACGGGUGAGUAAUUUCUGGGAAACUGCCCGAUGGAGCGGGAUAACUACUGGAAAUGGUAGCUAAUACCGCAUACCAUCGGAUGUGCCCAGUAGGGAUUAGCUAGUAGGUGGGGUAACGGCUCACCUAGGCGACGAUGCCUAGCUGGUCUGAGAGGAUGACACGCCACACUGGAACUGAGACACGGUCCAGACUCCUACGGGAGGCAGCAGUGGGGAAUAUUGCACAAUGGACGAAAGCCUGAUGGAGCCACGCCGCGUGAAUGAAGAAGGCCUUCGGGUUGUAAAGUACUGUUGGCGAGGAGGCGGUACUCGAAGAGGAAGCACCGGCUAACUCCGUGCCAGCAGCCGCGGUAAUUC
rnacentral:rRNA from 1 species